GACGAACCGUGCGAACGUUAUUCGGAUUCACUGGGCUUAAAGGGCGCGUAGGCGGACUCGCCAGUCCGGGGUGAAAUCUUUCGGCUUAACCGGAAAAGUGCCUUGGAUACUGCGAGCCUUGAGGAAGGUAGGGGCAUGUGGAACUUCCGGUGGAGCGGUGAAAUGCGUUGAUAUCGGAAGGAACGCCGGUGGCGAAAGCGACGUGCUGGACUGGUCCUGACACUCAUGAGCGAAAGCGUGGGGAGCGAUCCGG
rnacentral:rRNA from 1 species